rnacentral:rRNA from 1 species
AUGUCUCCAUCAACAGUGAACUCUCAGGUUUUUUUACCAGAAUUUCCAAAUGGGACUUCGUUGGAGAUUUUGAAUCUACAGUUAACAAAUUUCUCUAGUAUCAAGCUGAGUUAUUUUAGCAACCACCUGUAUCUUAAAGAGCUAGGUCUUGAUGCGAGGUCAAUUUCUGUCGAGGCUAAUGGUUUAUUGUUCAGCAAGCUCAACUCUUUGCAAAAUUUGCAGAUCUCUUUUGCACAAUUUUCUAGGGAGUUAGGGCCACUUUUCGCAUGGAUUGGUAACCUUAAGAAGUUGACAAUCUUGCAACUCUCUUAUUGCUAUUCGUCCAAGAUAAUGCCCCCUUUGAUUGGCAACCUCACCAACUUGACAAGUUUGGAAAUUACUAAAUGUGGAUUUAUUGGGAAAAUACCACUAUCAAUUGGCAACCUCAACAAGUUGACUUCCUUGAAAAUUUCUGAUUGUGCCUUCUCUGGAACAAUACCAUCUUCAGUUGGCAAUCUUAAGAAACUAAGAAGCUUGGUAAUCACUGACACUGGCUUAUCAGGUCGAAUACCAGCAGAUAUUGGACAUCUCAGCAGAUUGAAGGUCUUAAUAUUAGCAGGCUGCAAGUUUUCUGGUAGAAUACCAAGUACAAUUGUUAACUUGACUCAACUCAUUGUGGUGAAUCUUUCACAGAAUUUCCUCCGAGGAGGGAUUCCAACAUCUCUAUUCACUUCUCCAACAAUGUUAAUGUUGGAUUUAUCAUCAAACCAACUUUCUGGACAAAUACAAGAGAUUGAUACACUAGAUUCACAGUUAACAUUGGUUUUUUUGAGUGAAAAUAAAUUUAGUGGAAAGAUUCCUGCAUCAUUCUUUAUACUCACAAAUUUGGUGGGCCUUGAUCUUAGCUCAAACAACAUAACAGGUUUGGUACAAUUCAGUUCACUCUGGAGGUUACCAAAGCUUGCUUAUUUGGGUCUCUCAAACAAUAGGUUGUCUGUCUUGGAUGGAGAAGACAACAAAUCAGCAGUGCCCUUACUACCUAAACUCUCAAUUUUAGUACUUGCGUCUUGCAACAUGACAAAAAUUCCUUAUUUAUUGCGGCAUAUUAAUCAUAUCCAAGUAUUGGACCUUUCAAGCAACAAAAUACAAGGGACAGUACCCCACUGGAUAUGGGAGAAAUGGGAUGAUAGCCUUACACAAUUGAAUCUUUCAAACAACAUAUUCACACAUAUGCAACUCGCUUCAUAUGUUCUCCCAUACAAUCAUUUGAGAUCUCUAGAUUUAAGUUCCAAUAGACUUCAAGGCCAGAUUCCGAUGCCAAACUUGUUGACAGCGGUUUACACCAACACACAAUUCCUGGAUUACUCGAACAAUAGAUUCUCUUCUAUUAUGUCAAACUUCACUGCUUAUCUUCGCCAAACAGCUUAUCUCAAGUUGUCAAAAAAUAACAUUAGUGGCCAGAUACUGCAUUCAAUUUGCGAUGUAAGCAACCUCGAAGUCCUUGACCUGUCAUAUAACAACUUCAGUGGGUUCAUGCCAUCCUGCAUGAUAGAAGGCACCAGCUUGGUCGUAUUAAAUAUAAGGGAGAAUUACUUCGAAGGAAAUUUGCCGGAUAAUUUUAGUGACCACUGCAAUCUUCAAACAAUAGAUUUACAUGGCAACAAGUUUGAAGGUACGCUGCCUAGGUCUCUUUCAAACUGCUCUGACUUGGAGGUUCUUGACAUUGGAAACAAUCAAAUUGUUGAUACUUUCCCAUCCUGGGUGAGUAGGCUUUCCAAUCUGCGUGUCCUUGUUUUUAGAUCCAACCACUUCUAUGGCUCACUUGCUUAUCCUCCCAGCAAUAACAAAUUUGGGGAAUGCUUCUCAAAGUUACAAAUAAUUGAUAUUGCCUCAAAUAACUUCUCUGGCAAUUUGGAUCCACGAUGGUUUGAGAAUUUGCCAUCUAUGAUGGAUAAGUCAAAUGAUAAAGGACAACUCUUAGGCCAUCUGAUGACGCACAAUAAUGUAUACUACCAUGAUACUGUUGCAAUCACAUACAAAGGUCAAUAUGUGACAUUUGGAAAAAUAUUGACUGCGUUAACAGCAAUUGACUUCUCAAAUAAUGCAUUGGAUGGUGACAUUCCUGAAUCAACUGGAAGGCUAUUUUCUCUACAUAUACUGAGCAUGUCACAUAAUGCAUUUACAGGGAGGAUUCCACCACUAAUUGGUGGUAUGAGCCAGUUGGAAUCACUAGACCUGUCCUGGAACGAGCUUUCUGGGGAGAUUCCACAAGAGCUAACAAAUUUAACAUUUCUUGGUACCCUAAACUUGUGCGGAAACAAGCUGGAUGGAAGGAUACCACAGUCACGUCAGUUUGCCACAUUUGAGAACACUUCAUAUGAAGGGAAUACAGGGCUCUGUGGGCCACCUUUGACCAAACCAUGUGGCGAUUCAAGUAACCCAAAUGAGGUGCAAGUAAACACAUCGGGAGAUCAUGUUGAUAUCAUUUUGUUUCUCUUUGUUGGGGUGGGCUUUGGCGUUGGAUUCACAGCAGGUAUUCUGAUGAAAUGGGGGAAAAUAGGCAAAUGGUUGCAGAUUGCGUGA